UUUUGGUUAAGCUAUAAAGAGCGCAGGGUGGAUGCCUUGGCACUAAGAGCCGAUGAAAGACGUGAUAAGCUGCGAAAAGCUUCGGGGAGGAGCAAAUAUCCUUUGAUCCGGAGAUAUCUGAAUGGGGAAACCUGGCUGAGUAACCCUCAGUCGACGUAUGGUGAAUACAUAGCCAUACGCUGGGAACCCGGUGAACUGAAACAUCUAAGUAGCCGGAGGAAGAGAAAGAAAAAUCGAUUCCCAAAGUAGCGGCGAGCGAAAUGGGAAGAGCCCAAA
rnacentral:rRNA from 1 species